rnacentral:rRNA from 1 species
AACGAACGCUGGCGGCAGGCCUAUCACAUGCAAGUCGAGCGCGCCUUCGGGUGAGCGGCGGACGGGUUAGUAACGCGUGGGAACGUGCCCUUCUCUACGGAAUAGCCUCUGGAAACGGAGAGUAAUACCGUAUACGCCCUUUGGGGGAAAGAUUUAUCGGAGAAGGAUCGGCCCGCGUUAGAUUAGGUAGUUGGUGGGGUAACGGCCUACCAAGCCUACGAUCUAUAGCUGGUUUUAGAGGAUGAUCAGCAACACUGGGACUGAGACACGGCCCAGACUCCUACGGGAGGCAGCAGUGGGGAAUCUUAGACAAUGGGGGCAACCCUGAUCUAGCCAUGCCGCGUGAGUGAUGAAGGCCUUAGGGUCGUAAAGCUCUUUCGCCUGUGAUGAUAAUGACAGUAGCAGGUAAAGAAACCCCGGCUAACUCCGUG